CCUACAUUUGCUCUUUAGUAUUCUGGGAUCAGCUUCUUAAAAUUCGUGUCAAUUUAUCUUUAAAUUUGUGUUCUGUAAUGGGGGAGGAGAAAAUGGAACAUGUCUUGGAGCAUCCACUCAGUCUUCUUGCUUGCAUGGAUCUUCGGCUGUCUGCUCUCUUGUCCUUUAGGCCCCAGUCAUUUGAGCCUCUCAUCCCUAUAGAUGACAAGGUGUCACCGUAGCCCUCCCUGGCAGGGAUCUUGGGCACAAGCCCCAGAAGGAUCUAUGUGUGCUACCAUGUGCCCAAUGGGAUCUAUAGGAGCUCGGACAAACAGUGUAAGUCAGAUUGAUGACUGCACCAUACUUCCCCACCCCGUGGACUGAAGCUGAGAACCAAGGUUCAGCCACCCAGACACUAAGAAGAAACUAAAACUCUGGUCCAAGGAGGAUCAGUUACUGUUUAGCUGGCAGCGGAACUUGGUCUUAUCCACAUGGUUAUACAGGUAUGCAGAAUGUUAAGAAUUGUGAAGUUAUGGAGUAUUGUACCAGUGCCCCACAGAAAACCCUGCAAGUAGAGGUGCUGUACACCAGGGACAAAUUCUCUACAGGCUCCCCAGGAAAAGGCUCUGCAUGAAGUUGGGAAGGCAAAGCCUCAGUUAAAGUGGAGACCUAAAAUAUUGGACAUAGCAGGAAUGUGUGCUGAGAACAGUUGCAGGCACCAAAUGGAAGCUGAGCAAAGAGAGAAACGGUGUGGACCACUGGUGGUAAGGGUGGGACUGGACAAGCCUUUUGACACAUAUCAUGACAUUUUCCUCAGAUGCUAGACAUGGAGGUACAGGAUUUAAUGUUUUCCCUCAUGAGUAUACUCUUGCUCUGGUCAUGUCCUUCUGUGCCCCAUUCCUCCUUCUUGAAUGGGAAUGUUUACUUUAUGCCAUUGUAUAUUGGAAGCAGAUAACUUUCCUUUUGAUUUUCCAGGGGCUCACAGUUGUUUUUAGUCUCAACAGAAAUUCUGGAUGCAGACUUUUGAGCAACAUUGGAAGUGUUAAGACUUUGGGGGCUGUUAGAGAUUGAAAAUCAAAUGUGCAAAGCUAAUUCUAAAGAAACCUGGAAUCGGGAAUCCAGUCAAUGAGAGAGAGGAGGGAUUCUGCAGGCGGGGGACAUCA